GAAAAAUGAUAUGUAUUAACGCACAGGAAUAUUUGGAUCCUUCAACAAACUCUCAAAAAGAAGUAUAAUCUUCUCAACAUUAUUUGGCUUUUACAAGAUUGAAAAAAAAAAAAACUAGGCAAACAGCCGCAAAAGCAAGAGUUCCUCCAAAUCUUUUCAAUGUUAAAAGAUGAUAGGUUCUCAUCUAAAAUGGUGUGCUCACACUUGAGGGUGACGAUAUCACUGAAAGAAUGUCAGUCACAGAAGCCAUGGCACUUAAUGCAGCCUUCAGGACGUCUUGUGAGCAACCAGGCUUCACAAUUGUACGCACCUUGUCUAGGUAUUCCUGCAAUUUCUUAAUACGUCCAAUGUAAUCCUGGUCUUCAACACAAAGGGUAACAGCCUUGGCAUCUGCACCAGGACCAUCAAACUGGAGGGGACCUGGGUUUCUAUAAACAUCAUCCAAUAAAAACUUUGUUGCAUUUUGACUCAACAGUUCAUAUGAUUUGCCCCUCAAAUCCACAGUAGCAGGAUGCAAAGCAGGUACCCCAAUUGAUGCUUUACCAGGACCACGACCGUAGCGCUUAACAGUCAUCAUUGCAGAUAUAGGGGCAGCACCACAAUGCCACUUGUUGGCAGGAUUUUUCAGGUUGGUAAUAGUAGCCAUGUAACCAUUAAGACCAGCAGCUAAAAUAUGGUAGCAAACAUGACCAAGCACAUAG
rnacentral:misc_RNA from 1 species